rnacentral:rRNA from 1 species
UACAGAGGUGGCAAGCGUUGUUCGGAAUUACUGGGCGUAAAGGGCGCGUAGGCGGCCUUCUAGGUCAGACGUGAAAUCCCCAGGCUUAACUUGGGAACUGCGUCUGAUACUGGGAGGCUUGAGUGCGGGAGAGGGAUGUGGAAUUCCAGGUGUAGCGGUGAAAUGCGUAGAUAUCUGGAGGAACACCGGUGGCGAAGGCGGCAUCCUGGACCGACACUGACGCUGAGGCGCGAAAGCGUGGGGAGCAAACAGG